rnacentral:rRNA from 1 species
GAUGAACGCUGGCGGCGUGCUUAACACAUGCAAGUCGAACGGUGAAGGCGGAGCUUGCUCUGCUGGAUCAGUGGCGAACGGGUGAGUAACACGUGAGCAAUCUGCCCCUGACUCUGGGAUAAGCGCUGGAAACGGCGUCUAAUACUGGAUACGAGCUGCGAAGGCAUCUUCAGCAGCUGGAAAGAACUUCGGUCAGGGAUGAGCUCGCGGCCUAUCAGCUUGUUGGUGAGGUAACGGCUCACCAAGGCGUCGACGGGUAGCCGGCCUGAGAGGGUGACCGGCCACACUGGGACUGAGACACGGCCCAGACUCCUACGGGAGGCAGCAGCGGGGAAUAUUGCACAAUGGGCGAAAGCCUGAUGCAGCAACGCCGCGUGAUGGACGACGGCCUUCGGGUUGUAAACCUCUUUUAGCAGGGAAGAAGCGAAAGUGACGGUACCUGCAGAAAAAGCGCCGGCUAACUACGUG